CGUUGGACCACUGAUUCUCGUACGAUCACCGAAGUUAAGCAACGUUGAGUCUGGUUAGUAACUAGAUGGGAGCCUUUUUGGGAAUACUUGAUGUUGUAAG